UACGUAGGGGGCAAGCGUUGUCCGGAAUAAUUGGGCGUAAAGGGCGCGUAGGCGGCUCGGUAAGUCUGGAGUGAAAGUCCUGCUUUUAAGGUGGGAAUUGCUUUGGAUACUGUCGGGCUUGAGUGCAGGAGAGGUUAGUGGAAUUCCCAGUGUAGCGGUGAAAUGCGUAGAGAUUGGGAGGAACACCAGUGGCGAAGGCGACUAACUGGACUGUAACUGACGCUGAGGCGCGAAAGUGUGGGGAGCAAACAGG
rnacentral:rRNA from 2 species